UACGUAGGGUGCGAGCGUUAAUCGGAAUUACUGGGCGUAAAGCGUGCGCAGGCGGUUCGUUAUGUCCGCUGUGAAAGCCCCGGGCUCAACCUGGGAACUGCAGUGGAAACUGGCGAGCUGGAGUCCGGCAGAGGGGGGUGGAAUUCCACGUGUAGCAGUGAAAUGCGUAGAGAUGUGGAGGAACACCGAUGGCGAAGGCAGCCCCCUGGGCCGAGACUGACGCUCAGGCACGAAAGCGUGGGGAGCAAACAGG
rnacentral:rRNA from 1 species